CAUGCUGCGGUGAAUACGUUCCCGGGCCUUGUACACACCGCCCGUCACACCAUGGGAGUCGGUAACACCCGAAGCCUGUAGUCUAACCGCAAGGAGGACGCAGUCGAAGGUGGGAUUGAUGACUGGGGUGAAGUCGUAACAAGGUACC
rnacentral:rRNA from 1 species